GACGAACGCUGGCGGCGUGCUUAACACAUGCAAGUCGAACGGAAAGGCCCUGCUUUUGUGGGGUGCUCGAGCGGCGAACGGGUGAGUAACACGUGAGUAACCUGCCCUUGACUUUGGGAUAACUUCAGGAAACUGGGGCUAAUACCGGAUAGGAGCUCCUGCUGCAUGGUGGGGGUUGGAAAGUUUCGGCGGUUGGGGAUGGACUCGCGGCUUAUCAGCUUGUUGGUGGGGUAGUGGCUUACCAAGGCUUUGACGGGUAGCCGGCCUGAGAGGGUGACCGGCCACAUUGGGACUGAGAUACGGCCCAGACUCCUACGGGAGGCAGCAGUGGGGAAUAUUGCACAAUGGGCGGAAGCCUGAUGCAGCAACGCCGCGUGCGGGAUGACGGCCUUCGGGUUGUAAACCGCUUUCGCCCGUGACGAAGCGUGAGUGACGGUAAUGGGUAAAGAAGCACCGGCUAACUACGUGCCAGCAGCCGCGGUGAUACGUAGGGUGCGAGCGUUGUCCGGAUUUAUUGGGCGUAAAGGGCUCGUAGGUGGUUGAUCGCGUCGGAAGUGUAAUCUUGGGGCUUAACCCUGAGCGUGCUUUCGAUACGGGUUGACUUGAGGAAGGUAGGGGAGAAUGGAAUUCCUGGUGGAGCGGUGGAAUGCGCAGAUAUCAGGAGGAACACCAGUGGCGAAGGCGGUUCUCUGGGCCUUUCCUGACGCUGAGGAGCGAAAGCGUGGGGAGCGAACAGGCUUAGAUACCCUGGUAGUCCACGCUGUAAACGGUGGGUACUAGGUGUGGGGUCCAUUCCACGGGUUCCGCGCCGUAGCUAACGCUUUAAGUACCCCGCCUGGGGAGUACGGCCGCAAGGCUAAAACUCAAAGGAAUUGACGGGGCCCCGCACAAGCGGCGGAGCAUGCGGAUUAAUUCGACGCAACGCGUAGAACCUUACCUGGGUUUGACAUGGAUCGGGAGUGCUCAGAGAUGGGUGUGCCUCUUUGGGGUCGGUUCACAGGUGGUGCAUGGCUGUCGUCAGCUCGUGUCGUGAGAUGUUGGGUUAAGUCCCGCAACGAGCGCAACCCUUGUUCACUGUUGCCAGCACGUUAUGGUGGGGACUCAGUGGAGACCGCCGGGGUCAACUCGGAGGAAGGUGGGGAUGACGUCAAGUCAUCAUGCCCCUUAUGUCCAGGGCUUCACGCAUGCUACAAUGGCUGGUACAGAGAGUGGCGAGCCUGUGAGGGUGAGCGAAUCUCGGAAAGCCGGUCUCAGUUCGGAUUGGGGUCUGCAACUCGACCUCAUGAAGUCGGAGUCGCUAGUAAUCGCAGAUCAGCAACGCUGCGGUGAAUACGUUCCCGGG
rnacentral:rRNA from 1 species